UACGUAGGGGGCAAGCGUUGUCCGGAAUCAUUGGGCGUAAAGCGCGCGUAGGCGGCCAGAUUAGUCCGGUGUGAAAGUCAGAGGCUCAACCUUUGAAUGCCGCUGGAAACUGUCUGGCUUGAGUCCGGAAGGGGCGAGUGGAAUUCCUGGUGUAGCGGUGAAAUGCGCAGAUAUCAGGAGGAACACCAAUGGCGAAGGCAGCUCGCUGGGACGGUACUGACGCUGAGGCGCGAAAGCGUGGGGAGCAAACAGG
rnacentral:rRNA from 1 species